GGUUCCGUGGUGUAGUGGUUAUCACGUCUGCCUUACACGCAGAAGGUCCCGGGUUCGAACCCGGGUGGAACCU
rnacentral:tRNA from 1 species